rnacentral:rRNA from 1 species
GUGAACCUGCCGGAAGGAUCAUUAUCGUACAACAGAGGCGCUAGGGCUGUCGCUGACCUUUGAAAAAGGUCGUGCACGCCACAGUGCUCUCUCACAUCCAUCUCACACCCCCUUUGUGCAUCACGGCGUGGGCUCCUUUUGGCUUGUUCUGAAGGGGGUUCACGUUCUUUUCACACAUACACCCCUUUAAUGCAUGUGUAGAAUGUCCUACUUUUUGUGAUAAUACACAAUCAAUACAACUUUCAACAACGGAUCUCUUGGCUCUCGCAUCGAUGAAGAACGCAGCGAAAUGCGAUACGUAAUGUGAAUUGCAGAAUUCAGUGAAUCAUCGAAUCUUUGAACGCACCUUGCGCCCCUUGGCAUUCCGAGGGGCACACCCGUUUGAGUGUCGUGACAAUCCUCAACCUUCUUGGUUUUCUUGACCGUAGAAGGCUUGGACUUUGGGGGUUUAUUUGCUGGCCUCCCUUUGAAGCCAGCUCCUCCUAAAUGAAUUAGUAGGGUCUGCUUUGUCGAUCCUUGACGUGAUAAGAUGUUUCUACGUCUUGGGUUUUGCAUUGUUAUUGCCUUGGAUCCUGCUUCCAACUGUCUUGCAAAAGACAAUAUUCAAGCUGCCGCUUGACCUACAAACCUUUGACCUCAAAUCGGGGAGACACCCGCGACA